CCUACGGGAGGCAGCAGUGAGGAAUAUUGGUCAAUGGACGGAAGCCUGAACCAGCCAAGCCGCGUGCGGGAAGACGGUACAACGUAUCGUAAACCUCUUUUGUCAGAGGACAAAGGCGGGGACUAGUCCCCGGCUGAGAGUACCUGAAGAAAAAGCAUCGGCUAACUCCGUGCCAGCAGCCGCGGUAAUACGGAGGAUGCGAGCGUUAUCCGGAUUUAUUGGGUUUAAAGGGUGCGCAGGCGGCCGGUUAAGUCAGCGGUAAAAGCCCGGGGCUCAACCCCGGCAAGGCGUUGAAACUGGUCGGCUGGAGAGGGAGAGCAGUACGCGGAAUGUGUGGUGUAGCGGUGAAAUGCUUAGAUAUCGUGCAGAACCCCGAUUGCGAAGGCAGCGUACC
rnacentral:rRNA from 1 species